AUUGAACGCUGGCGGCAGGCCUAACACAUGCAAGUCGAGCGGAGCGGCGGACGGGUGAGUAAUGCCUAGGAAUCUGCUUGGUAGUGGGGGAUAACGUCUGGAAACGGGCGCUAAUACCGCAUCAUAUCCGAUGAUCCUAGGUCGGCUUAGCUAGUUGGUGGGGUAAAGGCCUACCAAGGCGACGAUCCGUAACUGGUCGGAGAGGAUGAUCAGUCAAACGGGAACGGAGACACGGUCCAGAAUCCUACGGGAGGCAGGAGUGGGGAAUAUUGGACAAUGGGCGAAAGCCUGAUCCAGCCAUGCCGCGUGUGUGAAGAAGGUCUUCGGAUUGUAAAGCACGUUAAGUUGGGAGGCGUUACCAACAGAAUAAGCACCGGCUAACUUCGUGCCAGCAGCCGCGGUAAUUC
rnacentral:rRNA from 1 species